rnacentral:rRNA from 1 species
CCUACGGGUGGCAGCAGUGGGGAAUAUUGCACAAUGGGGGAAACCCUGAUGCAGCGACGCCGCGUGAGUGAAGAAGUAUUUCGGUAUGUAAAGCUCUAUCAGCAGGGACGAAAAUGACGGUACCUGACUAAGAAGACCCGGCUAACUACGGGCCAGCAGCCGCGGUACUACGUAGGGGGCAAGCGUUAUCCGGAUUUACUGGGUGUAAAGGGAGCGUAGAGGGUCAGACAAGUCAGAAGUGAAAGCCCAGGGCUCAACCCUGGGACUGCUUUUGAAAAGGCCGGGCGGGAGUGCAGGAGAGGUAAGCGGAAUUCCCAGUGUAGCGGUGAAAUGCGUAGAUAUUAGGAGGAACACCAGUGGCGAAGGCGGCUUACUGGAC